AGGAAGGGCAUUCCAGGGAGAGAACGGUUUGAACAAAGCUAAAGAGAGGGGAAACCAGGAGUAUGCAUGGCGUCUCGUCUCUGGCAAAUGUGAGAAUUACAUUGAUUGGUUUUCAAAUAAUGAACAAUCCCUGCAUCCCUUGGACAAACCCCACUUGGGUAUACUUCUAUUCUAUGAAUGAACAAAGUCUUUAUUUUAAAAAGGAUCGAAACUAAGAAAUGACAAGGAUUCUACAAACAUCCUGUAGAAGACUGUUCCUGGAUUCUUGAACCACUGCCAUUUGCUGGGCUGUGAAUUGGAUAUGGUUUCUUUUAUGUUUUGCUCCUGAAUCCAAAAUACAGAUGGUAGUCAUGCUGGCUGCAGUGAUAACUGACUUUUGUAAUCUCGUAUCUCAGUGCCAAUUAUUAAAACUAGUCUUCCCUGCUGA